AUUGAACGCUGGCGGCAUGCCUUACACAUGCAAGUCGAACGGUAACAGGUCUUCGGAUGCUGACGAGUGGCGAACGGGUGAGUAAUACAUCGGAACGUGCCCGAUCGUGGGGGAUAACGAAGCGAAAGCUUUGCUAAUACCGCAUAAGAUCUACGGAUGAAAGCAGGGGACCGCAAGGCCUUGCGCGAACGGAGCGGCCGAUGGCAGAUUAGGUAGUUGGUGGGAUAAAAGCUUACCAAGCCGACGAUCUGUAGCUGGUCUGAGAGGACGACCAGCCACACUGGGACUGAGACACGGCCCAGACUCCUAAGGGAGGCAGCAGUGGGGAAUUUUGGACAAUGGGCGAAAGCCUGAUCCAGCCAUGCCGAGUGCAGGAUGAAGGCCUUCGGGUUGUAAACUGCUUUUGUACGGAACGAAAAGACUCUUUCUAAUAAAGAGGGUCCAUGACGGUACCGUAAGAAUAAGCACCGGCUAACUACGUGCCAGCCGCCGCAGUAA
rnacentral:rRNA from 1 species